GACGGAGGAUGCAAGUGUUAUCCGGAAUCACUGGGCGUAAAGCGUCUGUAGGUGGUUCGAAAAGUCCACUGUUAAAAAUUGAAGCUUAACUUCAAAGAUGCCGUGGAAACUUUCAAACUAGAGUGUGGUAGGGGUAGAGGGAAUUUCCAGUGGAGCGGUGAAAUGCGUAGAUAUUAGGAGGAACACCGGUGGCGAAGGCGCCGCUCUGGGCCGAAACUGGCGCUGAGGAGCGAAAGCAUGGGUAGCAAACAGG
rnacentral:rRNA from 1 species